CCACACCAUCCACCUCCUCAGGAUCACGUCCAUCUCUUAUUGAACCUGCUUUGUGACUUAGACUUCCUCAUGGGAGUUGUCUACACUGAAGGAUGAUGAUGAUGAUGCUAUGAGAAACGGGGAGAGCAGAAGGAGACAACUGAGGAAAGUCCUUUUGAGAAUCCAAAUGCAAGCUGGAGGCUGGUUGCUGGAAGACCCUGACUGAGAGGACAAUGACACGGUGAGGUCGAGGUGGAAAUCCAGAGCCCAGCGUCUUCUCUGCUGCCGCCAUUUCCUCGCGUUGUCUCUUAACACGUCUCUCU